AAUGGGUCAGCGACUUAUAUUCUGUAGCAAGGUUAACCGAAUAGGGGAGCCGAAGGGAAACCGAGUCUUAACUGGGCGUUAAGUUGCAGGGUAUAGACCCGAAACCCGGUGAUCUAGCCAUGGGCAGGUUGAAGGUUGGGUAACACUAACUGGAGGACCGAACCGACUAAUGUUGAAAAAUUAGCGGAUGACUUGUGGCUGGGGGUGAAAGGCCAAUCAAACCGGGAGAUAGCUGGUUCUCCCCGAAAGCUAUUUAGGUAGCGCCUCGUGAAUUCAUCUCCGGGGGUAGAGCACUGUUUCGGCAAGGGGGUCAUCCCGACUUACCAACCCGAUGCAAACUGCGAAUACCGGAGAAUGUUAUCACGGGAGACACACGGCGGGUGCUAACGUCCGUCGUGAAGAGGGAAACAACCCAGACCGCCAGCUAAGGUCCCAAAGUCAUGGUUAAGUGGGAAACGAUGUGGGAAGGCCCAGACAGCCAGGAUGUUGGCUUAGAAGCAGCCAUCAUUUAAAGAAAGCGUAAUAGCUCACUGGUCGAGUCGGCCUGCGCGGAAGAUGUAACGGGGCUAAACCAUGCACCGAAG
rnacentral:rRNA from 1 species